UACGUAGGUGACAAGCGUUGUCCGGAUUUACUGGGCGUAAAGAGCGCGCAGGCGGUCGUUCAAGUCGAGUGUGAAAGCCCCCGGCUCAACUGGGGAGGGUCACUCGAUACUGAUCGACUCGAAGGCAGGAGAGGGUAGUGGAAUUCCCCGGUGUAGUGGUGAAAUGCGUAGAUAUCGGGGAGGAACACCAGUGGCGAAGGCGACUACCUGGCCUGAUACUGACACUGAGGUGCGAAAGCGUGGGGAGCAAACAGG
rnacentral:rRNA from 1 species